rnacentral:lncRNA from 1 species
GUGUUGAGGAAGAGACAGCAGAGCUCCCUGGGGUUGCUACAUCCCUGGACUGACAUCUCCAGACUGCCUUUCAGCCUUUGUAAAGGAAGAGAUGUUUACAAUGAGAACCGAGAACCGGGUUAGGAACUGCCUGCAGAAGCAACCUCCCUAAGAACGUGAGUCGGUAGCCUGGUGUUUUGACACCUACCGGAGGUGAAACUCUCCUGGCAAUCACCAUAAAUACAAGUACAUGUGUAUGUGCAUAUUUAUAUGUGUAUACAUAUUUGCAUAGUGAAAUGUGAUCAUAUCUACCCCAUUUCCCCACUCCUAUGUUCCUUCAGCCCCUUUCCAACCCCCUGCCCUCCCC